rnacentral:tRNA from 1 species
AGUGACUAAGCGCUUGGCUGCUAACCAAAAGGUUGGUGGUUCAAACCCACCAGCCACUC